GUGAGCUCCCAGCUCUCUCCUCACACAGGGCUGAGGUCUCUGGGGAAGGCAGAGCUGUGGUCUAGAAGAAGAUGGCACUGCUGGGUCUUCUCCUGUGCCUGGUGACAGCCCCCCAAGGUGUCCUGUCCCAGGUGCAGCUGCAGGAGUCGGGCCCAGGACUGGUGAAGCCCUCGCAGACCCUGUCCCUCACCUGCGCUGUCUCUGGAUUCUCCAUCACAACCAGUGGUUACUGCUGGCACUGGAUCCGACAGCUCCCGGGGAAGGGACUGGACUGGAUUGCGAUCAUAUGUUAUGAUGGGAGCACAGCAUACAAUCCGGCCCUGAAGAGCCGCUCCUCCAUCUCCAGAGACACAUCCAAGAACCAGUUCUCCCUGCAGCUGAAAUCUGUGACCACCGAGGACACGGCCGUGUAUUACUGUGCGAGGGACACAGUGAGGGGAAGUCAGUGUGAGCCCAGACACAAACCUCCCUGCAGGGGACAGAGGCGCUGGGCUGCAGGGGCUCUCAGGACACCAGGGGGCGCUCGGGGUCCAUGGCUGUGCUCGGACCUCCUGGGGCACUUGUGA